UGGGGAAUUUUGGACAAUGGGGGAAACCCUGAUCCAGCCAUCCCGCGUGUAUGAUGAAGGCCUUCGGGUUGUAAAGUACUUUUGGCAGAGAAGAAAAGGUAUCCCCUAAUACGGGAUACUGCUGACGGUAUCUGCAGAAUAAGCACCGGCUAACUACGUGCCAGCAGCCGCGGUAAUACGUAGGGUGCAAGCGUUAAUCGGAAUUACUGGGCGUAAAGCGUGUGUAGGCGGUUCGGAAAGAAAGAUGUGAAAUCCCAGGGCUCAACCUUGGAACUGCAUUUUUAACUGCCGAGCUAGAGUAUGUCAGAGGGGGGUAGAAUUCCACGUGUAGCAGUGAAAUGCGUAGAUAUGUGGAGGAAUACCGAUGGCGAAGGCAGCCCCCUGGGAUAAUACUGACGCUCAGACACGAAAGCGUGGGGAGCAAACCAGGAUUAGAUA
rnacentral:rRNA from 1 species